UACGAACCGAGCGAACGUUGUUCGGAAUCACUGGGCUUAAAGGGUGCGUAGGCGGGCUGCCAAGUUUGAGGUGAAAUCCUCCGGCUCAACCGGGGAAGUGCCUUGAAUACUGGCGGUCUGGAGGGAGGUAGGGGCGUGCGGAACUAACGGUGGAGCGGUGAAAUGCGUUGAUAUCGUUAGGAACUCCGGUGGCGAAGGCGGCACGCUAGACCUCUUCUGACGCUGAGGCACGAAAGCCAGGGGAGCGAACGGG
rnacentral:rRNA from 1 species